AUUUAUAUAGUAUAAUUAAUAUAAAACAUUACAUUUAAUUUCCAAUUAAAAAAUUUAAUUUAUUUUAAUAUAAAUA
rnacentral:tRNA from 1 species